CACGUAGGCACCAAGCGUUGUCCGGAUUUAUUGGGCGUAAAGAGCUCGUAGGCGGUUCAGUAAGUCGGGUGUGAAAACUUUGGGCUUAACCCAAAGCGUGCAUCCGAUACUGCUGUGACUUGAGUACGGUAGGGGAGCGGGGAAUUCCUAGUGUAGCGGUGAAAUGCGCAGAUUUUAGGAGGAACACCGGUGGCGAAGGCGGCAUCCUGGACCAAUACUGACACUGAGGAGCGAAAGCCAGGGGAGCAAACGGG
rnacentral:rRNA from 1 species